AUUGAACGCUGGCGGCAUGCUUUACACAUGCAAGUCGAACGGCAGCGCGGGCUUCGGCCUGGCGGCGAGUGGCGAACGGGUGAGUAAUGCAUCGGAACGUGCCCAGUAGUGGGGGAUAGCCCGGCGAAAGCCGGAUUAAUACCGCAUACGACCUGAGGGUGAAAGCGGGGGACCGAAAGGCCUCGCGCUAUUGGAGCGGCCGAUGUCGGAUUAGCUAGUUGGUGGGGUAAAGGCUUACCAAGGCGACGAUCCGUAGCCGGUCUGAGAGGACGACCAGCCACACUGGGACUGAGACACGGCCCAGACUCCUACGGGAGGCAGCAGUGGGGAAUUUUGGACAAUGGGGGCAACCCUGACCCAGCCAUGCCGCGUGCGGGAAGAAGGCCUUCGGGUUGUAAACCGCUUUUGUUCGGGAAGAAAUCCUCUGGGCUAAUACCCCGGGGGGAUGACGGUACCGGAAGAAUAAGCACCGGCUAACUACGUG
rnacentral:rRNA from 1 species